CGGGUCGCUGCAGCAGUGGGGAAUAUUGCACAAUGGAGGAAACUCUGAUGCAGCAACGCCGCGUGGAGGAUGACACUUUUCGGAGCGUAAACUCCUUUUAUAUAGGAAGAAGAUGACGGUACUAUAUGAAUAAGCGCCGGCUAACUCCGUGCCAGCAGCCGCGGUAAUACGGAGGGCGCAAGCGUUACUCGGAAUCACUGGGCGUAAAGAGCGUGUAGGCGGAUUAAAAAGUCAGAAGUGAAAUCCUAUAGCUUAACUAUAGAACUGCUUCUGAAACUCUUAAUCUAGAAUAUGGGAGAGGUAGAUGGAAUUUCUGGUGUAGGGGUAAAAUCCGGAGAGAUCAGAAGGAAUACCGAUUGCGAAGGCGAUCUACUAGAACAUUAUUGACGCUGAGACGCGAAAGCGUGGGGAGCAAACAGGAUUAGAUACCCGCGUAGUC
rnacentral:rRNA from 1 species